UGGGACGUCGACAAGUGGUAAGUCAGCGGCCUUUGGAGCCGCUAUUCACAGGUUCGAAUCCUGUCGUCCCAA
rnacentral:tRNA from 2 species